rnacentral:rRNA from 1 species
UGUUUCGGCUAGGGGGCCAUCCCGGCUUACCAACCCGAUGCAAACUGCGAAUACCGGAGAAUGUUAUCACGGGAGACACACGGCGGGUGCUAACGUCCGUCGUGAAGAGGGAAACAACCCAGACCGCCAGCUAAGGUCCCAAAGUCAUGGUUAAGUGGGAAACGAUGUGGGAAGGCCCAGACAGCCAGGAUGUUGGCUUAGAAGCAGCCAUCAUUUAAAGAAAGCGUAAUAGCUCACUGGUCGAGUCGGCCUGCGCGGAAGAUGUAACGGGGCUAAACCAUGCACCGAAGCUGCGGCAGCGACACUCAGGUGUUGUUGGGUAGGGGAGCGUUCUGUAAGCCUGUGAAGGUGGCCUGUGAGGGUUGCUGGAGGUAUCAGAAGUGCGAAUGCUGACAUAAGUAACGAUAAAGCGGGUGAAAAGCCCGCUCGCCGGAAGACCAAGGGUUCCUGUCCAACGUUAAUCGGGGCAGGGUGAGUCGACCCCUAAGGCGAGGCCGAAAGGCGUAGUCGAUGGGAAACGGGUUAAUAUUCCCGUACUUGGUGUUACUGCGAAGGGGGGACGGAGAAGGCUAUGUUGGCCGGGCGACGGUUGUCCCGGUUUAAGCGUGUAGGCUGGUUUUCCAGGCAAAUCCGGAAAAUCAAGGCUGAGGCGUGACGACGAGGCACUACGGUGCUGAAGCAACAAAUGCCCUGCUUCCAGGAAAAGCCUCUAAGCAUCAGGUAACAUCAAAUCGUACCCCAAACCGACACAGGUGGUCAGGUAGAGAAUACCAAGGCGCUUGAGAGAACUCGGGUGAAGGAACUAGGCAAAAUGGUGCCGUAACUUCGGGAGAAGGCACGCUGACACGUAGGUGAAGUGAUUUACUCAUGGAGCUGAAGUCAGUCGAAGAUACCAGCUGGCUGCAACUGUUUAUUAAAAACACAGCACUGUGCAAACACGAAAGUGGACGUAUACGGUGUGACGCCUGCCCGGUGCCGGAAGGUUAAUUGAUGGGGUCAGCGCAAGCGAAGCUCCUGAUCGAAGCCCCGGUAAACGGCGGCCGUAACUAUAACGGUCCUAAGGUAGCGAAAUUCCUUGUCGGGUAAGUUCCGACCUGCACGAAUGGCGUAAUGAUGGCCAGGCUGUCUCCACCCGAGACUCAGUGAAAUUGAACUCGCUGUGAAGAUGCAGUGUACCCGCGGCAAGACGGAAAGACCCCGUGAACCUUUACUAUAGCUUGACACUGAACAUUGAGCCUUGAUGUGUAGGAUAGGUGGGAGGCUUUGAAGUGUGG